AUAAUUUGACAAUUCUAUAAUGUCAUAGUAUCAGUUUUUACUUAAUAUUUAUAUUACAGAUAAUUCUAAAAUUGUUCUUAUUUCCUCCUAAAUAAAAUACUUAUCUAAGAUAACAUAGGUUCAAUUGGAACAGUCAAAUUCAAUGUAUUCAAAUGAGAUCAUUCCUGUAAGUUUGUAAACAAUGGAAACGGGACACCUGGUGUUCCUUCCAAAGCAACUGUUUCAGGAAGGGUUACAUGUUUUACUUCAGUUUUUGGAGGUAAGAAAAAGUUAGUGUAUUAGCAUUAAUGCAUUUGAUUACAAAGCCAAUACGAUAUAUAUAUAUAAGUGAAACUAUACCAUAUGGUAAAAUAAUUAUCGACGUUGAAAAAGGAUCGACAAGGCCGAUGUUAAAGAGACAAACAAAAACACCAAAGUUCUCAAAAAGUAAAAUUGAGAACGCUUACGUAUAAUUAACAGAAUCAUAACAAAAUAUGAACUAAAUCGUUUAAGAAAAAAAUAACCUUUAAAAUUCAAGUAGAAGAACCAACUGUUAGACUCGUAGCAAGAUACAUCCAGAUUGAUUUAUUGUGGUUUCGAGUAUGUCAAGUUUGCAAACAUGCAAGCAUAUUCAGAACGAAAGCAAGUAAGUUAUACAUGAAUUCGAUAAGUUCACAAGUGAAAAAGAAACGAGGGUAUUUGGUUUGAUGAUUUUUUAUGUGUACGCCCUGUAAACAUAUACGCCAUGUGAAGAUUCCUCUGUACAACAUGUUAAAUGUAAUGCCUUAUUUUAAUCGGAGAUGCUCAUCUAUAAAUGCCGCACAGAAAAAUACGCCUUAUUUUGAUAUUGGAUCUACGUCAGAUUAGAGUACCAGGAGAUAACAUAAUGUUCUCUAAUUUUUGUGAUAUUUUCACAUUUCCUGAC
rnacentral:lncRNA from 1 species